UUCAAGUACAAGAAUUAUAGGGUCACUGUUUUCUGAAAAGUAUGUAUGCUAUAUAAAUGACAUUGAAGUUUCAUUUUAUUUUUCUAAUCACUAAAAUGUGUGAUAUAAUUUAUUUUUCCAAAUUAUCAAGGUAUAUCAGAAUUCCAUGCUUUGUAGUUAUCUGAUACAUGGCAAAAAUGGAACUUUCUAAUUCGUACGACUUUUAUACCAAUCAUCUAGUAGUUGCAGAAAUAUUGAGACUCAUAAUUUUUAAAUUUAUAAAUAUAUUGCAAUUCCUAUUGUCUUUUACAAUGAAGAUGACACAUUGAGAGUUGAUAAAGCGAUCAUGGAGCUCAGAAUUUUUCGUGUUUGUUUGAAUCCCAGAGGAGCAAUUUAUAAACACUAUAUAUUUAUUUACUCUAUUCUCAGAACAGUUGACUGUUUUGUCAUUUGAAUUACACAUUUCAAAAAAAAAAAAAAAAAGAAUGACACAUUGGGUAUUCAGUUGUCUUUCUGAGACUUAAUGAGGCUAAUGAUUCAAAGUUUUUUUUUUAAAUAAUCAACAUUCAUGAAGAUUUUGUACUACCUCUUGGAACACAUAUAAAAUUUUGUAUGUGUUCCCUUAUUGCAUGACAAUAUUCAAGACAACUUUGUAAAUAAUAGUCAAAUACAAAAUUUUAACAUCUAGUUUUUCUAGAUGUAUAGAGUGUCACAGGGUAUAAUUUUGUAAAUACAUCAGUAUGAGCUUUUAUGCUUUUUAAAUUUUUUUGAGUGUGAUUUUUAAAAAUUGAUCUUGUUUGUUACUUGUUAAUAAAUAACAUAGAAGAAUGAGAAAAAGUAUUUUAAGUUCAACACUGGCUACUCAUCUACUGGAAAAAUUUCAUUAACCUUAGUGUAAGGCUUAUUGGACACACAAAACUAUUUAUAAUGGCAUACAUAAAUUAUAGUCAUGUGGUUGUAGUAAUAAAAGGUCAUUAUCUAAACAUUUGUAUUUAGGCAUUAUAGGAAAUAUGUCUUGGAAGAGUUUCGUCUACAUUUGUGAUUGAGUUAAUACAGUAUUAUAUUUACGGUACAUGACAGCACUCAAGACAUGCUGUAAAUAUAUACAUAUAUUUAUGCCAGUUUGAAAUAUCUUUUUUACAGAUGCAUUCUUAACACAGUAUAAGCCUGUAAAUAUUUCAUUAUGACCUAACAUUAAUUAAAUUAUACCAGUAAAUUCUUUUACAAUGGAAUAGAUAAAUACUAUUAAAAUAUUAAAUAUAAAACUGUUUAUGAAUAGUUUCUCAUGUAGAGAAGAACAAGCCAGUUUUUCUAUACUGUUUACAUGAAGCAAAAUUACAGGAAAAAAAUUGGGUGCUUUUUAUCUCCAAGAUAGAUAAACUAUGAAAAACUAUUAAUAAAUUUUAAGUUAAUUAGAAAAAUUUUCAAAAUCAUUGUUAGUCCACGAUUUACCAUUGGCAUGCUUAUUUACUUUUACCUGCAGUGAUUGCAUUCACAUAUUUAGGUCAUAAUAGUAUAUAGAUUAAAUACUUUUAAAUUAUGUUUAUAUUGUGGAUUUCAAUUUAUAUUCUGGUUUACAACUUAUAAAGAUAGUAUUUCAUUUAUAAUUCAGUUAAUUCUGCAAUCUCAAUGUUAUGACUAAAUUCAAUUUGUGGUAAAUACAUAUCCUGUAACUUUUCUAAAUGUUUUAAUAUGUUUAUAUAUCUUUAAGCUAUUUUAAAAUUUUGUAUAUUUUCAUCUAGUAUUAUUAAAGGUAAAUACCUAGUAUAGUGUACGAAAAAACAGCCUGUAUCACAUUAAAAGCAAUCAAGAGAAAUUAAAAUCAGAGUUAGGAUUAAUGAGUAACAUUUAUCCCAGCACCUUUCAAGAUUAUACACAGCUCCGUACUCAGUUUGUGGACAGCCUGAGCUCAUUUGGCCUUGUGUCAAAAGAAAGUGUGAAAACAGAAAAACUGAACACAUCCCUUCAACACAAAAGGAAUUGUAAGAAUAUGUAUUAUUUGUUGCAAUUUUAGAGUUAUCUCCUAAUAUUUCAUCAUUUGUGAUUCUCAAAUGUAAUUUGAUUUUUUUUGUUGGACAGUAAGAUAGCCAAAUACCAGAUCUACGAAAAGAACAUAAGGAUUGCAGCUUAAGGUGAAUGUAAUUUAACAGUGAAAUAUUCUCUAGAAGAGGGGUGUUGUAUUAUAAAUUAAAAAAAGAAACAAGUUGCCUUCUUGUAGACAUACUUUAGUUCAUACUAAAAGAGAUAGUUAAGAAAUUCCUGAUUAUGCAUAUGUUGUGUCAUUAAGGAAAUUAAUACUUUUGUAUCAUAAUAUGUAUUAUUUUACAGUAAUAAUUGAAGAUUUGUGCAAGUCAAUUAAACUAUACAUGCUUGGAAAUUGCCACAUGGGACCAUCUUGAAUGAACAGUUUAUGCAAACAGAAAACAUGUUCAGGAAGAAUGUUAAAAUUUUAACACUUGUAAAUAGAAAGAAGAUGACAUUUGCCUGUCUUUGUAAUUUAUGAGGGUAUUUGCAAAUAAGCAUCAAAACAAGAAGAAAAUAUUAAAAAGACAUUUUGUGCCAGGACAUCAUGGUAGUGCUGGAUUGCCUAUCCAACUCUGUAUAAAGGUUUUUCAAACAAUUUGUGAAGAAUGUUAGUAUCUUCAGAGUCUUCUGCAUCAGCAAAGAGUAGUGCAUUAACUAAUGGAAAAGAGAAGAUAAAAUUUCUGGUAAGUAUUAGUGACACAUAUGAGUGAAAUAUAAUGUUUUAGCUAGGAUUUAAUGCUGUGAAGAGACACCAUGAAUGUGAGUAUCCUUAUAAAGGGGAAUAAUUGGUGCUGUCUUACAGUUUUAGAAAAUUAGUUCAUUUUUUGUCAUAAUGGGGAACAUGGCAUUGUACUGGCAGAUAUGGUGUUGGAGGAGCUGAGAAUUCUGCAUCUUGAUCAGUAGGCAGCAAGGAGUGACCAUGUGCCCUGCUGGGCAUUGCUUUAGUAUAGGAUACCUGAAAACCUGCCCCUGCAAACAGGCCACAUGUCCUAAUAAUGUCAUUUCCUAUGAACUGAACAUACAACACAUGAAUCUAUGUGACAAGUCCUGUUAAAUGUAUCACACGUAGAAACUAAAAAGUAUUCAGCAAUAAAUAUUGGUAAUGUCAGUCAUGCUUAUGAAUAUAGCAUGCUGUAUCUUAUGUUUUUGUUAUGUCUCAUUUAGGAUGAGUUGCAAGUUGUCUACUACAUUUUUCUUAGAAUAUAACUCAGGAUCAGAAACAGGCCGAAACACUUUUCCAAUCAUCCAAAUUACUUUUUUUAUUAAUGAGACAUGGCUGUUCUAGAACUCACUCUAGACCAGGUUGGCCUCAACCCCGAAAUCGGUGUCUUCCAAGUGCUGGGAUUAAAGACAUGUGCCACCACUGCCAAGCCUGUAAAUAUAUAAAUUAUAUAAAUAAAUAACAGGAUUGUGCUUACUUUGUUGGAUGUGUUUGAUUUGCCUGAGGGAUUUCCAGUAUAUACUCAUAUAGAUAUAGAUAUAGCUAGAUAGAUAUGUAUAUAAGUAGAUAGAUAGAUAGAUACAUACAUACAUACAUAAUUCUUUCAAAUGUACAGACGGAUACUUUAAAUAGUAACAUAAUUUAAAUAAAAACUUGGAGUGUUCAAGAAGAUAAUUUAGCUGUUAUGCACACCAACUGUAUUUAUUAAUGACCUUAGGUCUGUUCCCAUCUAUCAGUUGCUGCCUACAACUACAGCUCCGGUGUACAUCUUGCCUCAGACACCUGUCCCAUGUACAGGUACAUGCACUUGAAUGUAAAGUAAGAUGCUAGGGUCAAAGCUAAAUUUACAACAUACAGUACAUUUUCAGAGGACUUAAGUUAGGAUUUCGGCAGCUAAUCACAUCUAUCUUUUGUAGUAUCUGAAACCUCUGCUCUAUGAGGGCUCAAUGGAAAAUGGAUAGAAGCAUUUGGUAUUAAAUAUAAAUUGUUUUUUUUGUUCAAGACCAGGCUAAUUCUCAUUUUUUUUUCCGUAUACAUCCUACUCUAUAUUGGGUACUUUAUUUUUCAGGUGCUCAUGAUGACUAGUCCGAACCUGUGAACUUCUGAGAAAAUUUACAGUUCUGAAAACUAGAGGUGGUUACCGAAUUGAAUAGCCGUUGGUUCUACAGCCACUAUAAUGAUCUGAAAAGUUGAAUGUGUUGCAUGAACACUUUCAGGAAUCAUAAUAGAACUCAGCUAAUUAGAUAGAGACUGGAAUGUUGAUUUGAAGACAAUUACUUUAUAAAGAUUUUCUCAUUGCUGCUUUUGCAUUAUCCCAAGAAGUGGAGACACUACUACAUGGAUAAGAACUGUAUGAUUGAAUUGACUUUGGAAUCAUCUCAGUAUUGUCAUAAAAUAUUCACUGUAUGUAGUCAAUUUUUUCCUCAGAGUUGAUGGUUAUAAAUACUUGUCAAGUUGGAAAAAUUCACUUUUACUUUUAUUUGCAUCACACUUACUAGAUUAGAGACUAGAUUGCUUUAAAUUGAGUCUUCAUUUACAACUUCAAGGAAUUUUCCAGUACCUGUAAUUUCUCCAUUCUUGACUCUGCCUUAAAUUCAACUAGACAGCUGGCUUUUAAGACCGACUUGAGUAUUCUGGGAUUACAGUCAAAUAUUACAACACCAGGUUUAUUUGGUUCCAGCAUUCAAAUUCAGAGAUUUCCCCAGGCUGGACAACUGCUAAAUCAACUGAACUACUAUAUCUCUAGCUAAAGAAUGUGGUUUUUCUCUGAUCCAGGAGUAGUGUGGCCCAACUCUACUCCUAUCUACUUAAAAGACAACACAGGAGGCCUGCACAUUUGAGGUCACCUUGACAACACUGAAACCUCUUCUUCCCAUCUCAACAAUAAAAAGGUGGUGAAUAUCUUCAGAUACACAUCAAAUAUGCCUUUCUGAAGGUUUCAUCUACAGCAUCUCCCAAAUACCAUUAUAUAUUUAUUGUUUCUGGAGUAUUAUUUUACCUUUAUUAUCUCACAACUUCUAUAGAAGAUUUCCAAGGAAUAGAAAUGACCUGCUCUUGGCAAGUAAUUGCCCAAAAUGUUCAAUACUUCUGUUUUGAGUAUAUCUUGAACUCUCAUAUUGUUUGUUGCUUAUUAUCUUUUAUUCAUAUUUUAAUUUGCAAAUGGGAGAAACUUUUCUAAGUGGGUUGCAUAGCUAAUGUAUAUAAACAUUUUUAUGAUACUUCAGAUUAUAGCAACAUUUUCUGACUAAUUGAAUCUCCCUCUAUAUCAGUUUUGUUAUCGUUUGUGAGAUAUCUUCUUCCUCCUUUGAAUAAGAAACUCAGAUUUUAGGCAGGCCCUAAAGAAGAUUGUUUGGUACAGUGGUGUUCUUUAGAGAAGAUGCUCUGGUGCUAUUUUUGCUGAUAUUAUGGUCUCUGUCUAGUGGAGCAAUAUGAGUCUCUAUGGUUUGCUUUUUCUCCAAUAUGACUACUGGAGACUUUGAUGCCCUUGUAACUGAGUGGGUUGAGAAAUGUUGUCCUUGCACUGAUAAGGAGAGACAUAGUGAUGCUAUAUUGUAGAAUGUGUGGCAUCAUAUUUUUUUGAUAUCACUUUUCAGGUGUGAGUGAAAUCUCAAUGUUUCAAAGUGAUUUUUAGUUUUCUGUGUAAUGUGGGUUUUUUAUGUUAAUCUCCUUAAACUAAGUAAUGUGAAGUAGUGAUUAUUUUCAAUAUUAGUUGUGUGUUUCUAGAUAAGUCACCAGUUCAUUUGAAAACGACUGCCUUUCUCAACUGGUUUUAAUAAUUGUAAGAGUGAAAAUAAUUGGUAAGAAUUUUAAAGUGUCUGGAUAUAUAUGUCUGUAUGUGUGUAUGUUUGUGUCAGGUGUCUGUAGAAGUCAGAAAUGAAAUUCAGGAUUAUAUACUAAUUUUAUUUUGAAUGCUUGAAUUGUUUCCUUACACAUUACUUAAUAGGUGUCAGUAAGAAGGCUCAAUGGAAAAAGCCAACUGGGAACUCCAGUUGGAUCACUGGAACCCAGGUUAUGUGUAAGACAGAAUAUAGCUGACAACAGAACACUUCACAGAUUAUUUUUAAUCUCAUAAAUUUGUAGUACAAUCCAUAUCGCCUUACUCAUUAUAUUAUUAUUACAUUUUAGUGAUAUCCUGAGGUGCAUCCUGGAUUCUUUUUAUAAUGCUCAUUUAUUUUGUAUGCAGUGUUGUUUUUCUUGUUUUAAUUGCAAGAUUAAAUUAGUGUAUUUCAAUUAGUCUUUCAUAUUUACAUUUUCUGGGGUCAGAUUGCUUAUGAUUAAUCAGACACCACUACAACUUGUCAGUUUGUGUUAAGGGCCACAAAACUUUUUAAAAACACUAGAUUUACAGACCAUAUUUUUGAAACUAGGAAUCUGUUCUUGUAGUACAAGAACAAUUAAGGCUAAUCAUUAAACCAUGCCCCCAGAAAUAGUUGCAAUACACAAAUCUUGGGUUAUAUUUGUAUUUUAGCAGAUAGUUGUCUAACCUGUAGUCAGUUGUGUAGGUCUAGUUUCAUCCAGACAAUCUUUGGUAGAUUUAGGAUUAGAAGGUACAGAAAGAGUAUCUUUUCUUGUACAAGUUUCUGAAUGCUCUACAUGAGUGAUUCUCAACCUAUGGGUCCCAACCCCUUUGUGGGUCAAAUACACCUUUGACUAGGAUCACUUAAGACCAUUGGAAAGCACAGAUAUUUUACAUUACAAUUCAUAACAAUAGAAAAGCAUAGUUAUGAAGUAGCAUCAAAAAUAAUUUGAUGGCAGGAGGUCCCUAUUAUAUGAAGAGAUGUAUUAAAGGACUGUCAUAUUAACUAUUUUAAAAUUAGAUGUUUUAGUUCAUUAUAAUAUCAACAUCUAUUGUGAUCAAAUAAUUCUGUGGUCAUUAAUUGCUAAUCUGCUAUUCCAGUUCCAUAGCAGCUUAUGAUAAGGGAUAAACUUUCAUGGUAUAUAUACUUGUCAGUAACUUUCUUAUGUUUAUAUAAAUGUACAUGGAGAUUUUAGAUGGAAGAUCUUUGUAUUAAUGAUUUUUCCAUUUAAUCUAUCAUCGUGGUUUAUGGAGUUUACAAAAAUAUGUUUGCUGCUGCUUGUGAUGCUGUUGAUGAUGUGUAUAAUUAUUUAACUAUGAUAAUAUUUUUGAGUUCCUGCUUAUAUAAUAGUUUUCCAAGUAUGGUAAUAUUAAAUCAUCAUCUGUAUAUGUCUUUGGUUUCUGUCAAUAUUGUGAAGUUACCUGCAUAUGUUUUCUGGGUUAAGCCAGAGCAGUGGUGUAAUAUAGUGCUAAUUUUCAUAGUUUUGUUUAUACUAAGUUUCAAUGGCUUUGUACAUAACAGCCAAUCUAAUAGGUGAAAUAAUAUUUUAAAGCCUAAAUUAAGACUAAUUUUAAAUGCUUAAUGGCCAUGAUUUUAUAAAACUAAAUAGAUUUUCAGUUGUAGAAGCAACGUAAAGUUUCCAAAUUUUGCUAAGUUUACCUAGUGAUACAGCAAAGGUUGCAUAGUGAUACCUUGUCUCAAUGUUUGCAUUUUUUCAUAAAUUGCUUAAGUAUACACUAUGGUAACAAGCUUUUCUUUAUAUUUAAUUUUGAUGUAAUUAUAGAACCACAUGCUUUUUUAUAUAAUCUGACUUAUGCUCUGCAUUCAUUUCACUUAUUAUUCCCAUUACUCUUUCCCUCUCUAGUCUUCUCAUCUUAUUUCUGUUUAUACAUGUCACAGAACUUUGUUUUCAUUUAAGAUAUGCAGUUCACACUGGCCAAAAUUUUUCUGUGGUUAUUUUAUAACCACAUAAGUGUGCUUAUGUUCCUUUAAUCUUGGCUUAAAAUAUAAGAAAUGUUGAUUGUCUUGUUGA
rnacentral:lncRNA from 1 species